UUUCUGGAUGUUGUUUGUCAUUGUUGAUGUUGUUCCUGGCCGGUGCUCCGGUGCGGUUCUGGAUACGUACUGAACCAGGUCUCUAUAAUCCAGGAAGGACAGAAUGUGGAGCAGCGGGUCCGACGGCAGCUGGUCCAUCCGUAACUCCGUGGA